CAGAGGCUUGUGAGGUAAAACACACAGAGUAAAUUCCUACUACUGUCCAAGCAGUUGACAUGAAGAGGUCAGAAGGUCGGAGGUUCGAUCCCCAGCCCCUGCAGUCAGCGUGUAAAACUGCUCAAAAGUUAAGCAGCAAUUUCCCGGCAUGGUGCUGUUCCUGAAGACAUGACACAAAGUGAUGCUGCUGCAUUUGAGAUCUCCGCAAUUAACUUGAGUGACGUGCGUCAUCGCAGCGGUGGGAGGACUCAAAGUGCUGAAACGAGACUAAAACAGGCCGACCAAAGGACACGGCUGAUUCACAGAGAGGAAGUCCCCGUCCCGCUCCGCUUACCUCAAAGUCAUUGGCCUUGUUGUAGUGCAUGUUGAGCGCCCUGAAGAGCUCGGCAUCGCGGCUAACCACCAUCUCCUCUGAAGCGGUCACACCCUCGUUGAUGGACUGCCGGGCGAACUUCUCCAU